AUUUAUAACCAUUAAGGCGCGUUGUUAAAACCCCCUUAAGUUCACUGUAAACCAUGGCUUCACAAGGCUUAUUGCUUUUAUAAAACGGUUACCACACAAUACAAACAUUAAAGCCAAAAAAUAUGUAUCAAUGCAACUUUCAUGAAGUAAAAGCAACAAAAGCCUUCCUUCCGCUGGAAGAAAUAGUCCCUGACAGUGAACAGCAAAAUAAGUUACAUUAUUAUGCCAGAUGGUGGCAAAGAUUGUCUUUGAGUGAGUCACUCAGUCACAAAGACUUUUAUAUUAAAACUUGUUGUGAACAUGGAACAAGACGCAAAAGACAAAUGCUUUGACUAGCACUGUCAGUGUCAGGCACGGGAAAACGUCUCAGGUUACGUAUGUAACCAUGGUUCCCUGAGAGGGAAGGAGAUGCUGCGUCAAACGCUGUGGGAACGCCUCUGCAUGAUUGCGUCGUGAAGCACAUGUGAAAUCAGUCCAAUGGCGUGACGGAAAGUCAUAGGUGUGUGACAUCAUGACCAGGAAACUAUAGGCUUGUUUGAGAUGCACCUACACUGUAAUGAAUUGCUGUAAAAAUUACAGCAAUAUUUUACAGCCGAUGGCUGUAUUUUAAUAAUACAGCAUAUUGCUGUAAAUUGCAAUGAAUUCCGGGGGCGUGGCCGUUUGAAUCAAAUUUACAGAAUAUUGCUGUAAAUUUCAAAUAUACAGAGGCAUUGUGGGAUCUCCAACGGUCGAGAUUCGGGUAGCAGCAAGAGGAGUGAUUUACAACUGUGGUAAGUGACUUAUUAUUUCAUUUCCCCCUCAGUCUUUGGUAAAUAUGUAUGUAUUUACAUUCGCGAUUCAUAUUGGUAACCCCGGAUUGACGCAUCCUCCGUCCGCGGGGCGCGAAGCAGACUUGCGCGGGGUUUUCCUCAGCGCGGUCGCGGUAGGAUCUCACACAUUCCCCGGCGCUUUAGCAUAGCGGCUAUGGGCCGAAAAUUAAUAAUUAGAAACAGUUGGAAUUCACGAGAACUUCGUGUUCAUCAGCACACUUCGUGAUUAUUUUAUGGCGUAAAUCACAUUUGUACAGGCAGACAGUCAUCUGUUAACACGGGCCGAAACGAAAAAGCCUCGCGACGCGAUCAGGCCGCUCACGGAGGAUGUGUCACGCAAAAUGGUGCUGCUUCAUGCUGUUAACGUAACCAAUGUGAUGUAUUUGUGGACAUUUGCUAACUUAAGAUAAAUACCUACAAAGACGAAAGGAAAAGUGCCAUCUAGAACAACAGGCCAGGCAGUUCAGAAGAAACGGGUUGCGUUCAACCUACAUGUUGCCACUCUUCUGUGCAAAGUGAUGGAUUUUCAGUGGAAUUUCUGAAAUCCUCUCUUUGAAUCCUGGGAUGGAACAUCAUCUGGAGCAGAAUUCUUCUUUUUUGAUCGCAAGUUUGUUGGACUUGUUGUUCGGCCAUGUUGGUCUGUUCAUGAAGUGAUGAAAGUGAUCUGGGUUUUAAGAAAUGUUUUUAUAUGACCCCGUUGGUCAAGUUAUAGUUAUAAUUGUAUUUCUUUGUGUGAAGGGCCAUGAUGGCCAAUAAGUAAUUGUCAUUUUCAUGACA